UCGCCUGUUUAUCAAAAACAUGUUCUCUUGAGUUAAUUAGGAGAUUUAACCUGCCCACUGAAUAAAUAUUUUAAGGGCCGCAGUAUUUUUGACUGUGCGAAGGUAGCAUAAUUAGUAGUCUUUUAAUUAAAGGCAAGUAUGAAUGGUUGGACGAGACAAAUUCUUUAUCAUUUUAAUAAAAAAAAAUUGAAUUUAGAUUUUAAGUAAAAAUACUUAAAUGUAAUUAAGGGACGAGAAGACCCUAUAGAGUUUAAUAUAUCAAGUUUUAAUUGAGUUUAAUUGAAAUAUUUGGUUAUUUAUGUAGUGUAUUUGAUUGGGGUGAUAAAAAGAUAAAAGUAAUUCUUUUUAAAAAAUUAAUUAUUUAGGAAGACUUAAUGAUCCAUAAAGUAGUGAUUAAAAGAUUAAAUUACCUUAGGGAUAACAGCAUAAUAUUCUUCCAGAGUUCCUAUCGAAAAGAAGGAUUAUGACCUCGAUGUUG
rnacentral:rRNA from 1 species